rnacentral:lncRNA from 1 species
CCGGGAUAAAAAGAUAAAAAAGCAGCUCCGCGUUGGGCUCUAUCAGCUCACACUCUUCCUGCCUCCUGGAAUUUCUUCAGCAGAGGUUCGUCAGCCCGCAGGGCGAAGGUCAGCGCCCGCUUCUGGUAGUACUGAGCAUCCAGGAGCAGGUUGUCAAUGACGUCCUCCAGCAGGUGGGCUCUCUCAGCAGAGAUGCCCGGAGCGUCGUAGCCCAGGGCAGUGAAAUGCACGUGCAGGUGGUAGUAGGAGGGCUGGUAGUGCAGGUAGAUGCGGAGCUGGGAUCCGGGCACACCGAAGCGUUUUGUUAUGGCUUCCUUGCCCUCCUGCAGGAUGUUCCUCAGCAAAGGCAGGUGCUCUGCUGUGAGGUCCCGGAGAGACUUCACAUCGCGGCGGUGAAUGAGGGCUAUCAGGUAGAGGUCUUCGAGCUGGUUUUGAUUCCACUUCAAAUCUGGAACUAGAACAAAGCCAUUGCAAGGGUCUGGGUUUUCAUGGACGAUUCGAUCAGCCUCAGCUUUCUUCUCCAGGAUGUUAUACACCCACUGGAUGCUGAAGCUCUGGGACUGGAUGAAGGGCAGUGUUAUGUUCUUGUAGUCCUCCCAGGUUUCACGGAUGAGGUGCACUUCCUGACGAAGAUACUUCUGAAGGUGUUUCUCUGUGGCAGGGUACACCACUGUGGCUUUUAUCUCGCUCAGCGCGGGGGGCGGGUAGAGGCGGUACGUGCUGUAAAUGUCGUUGCGCAUCUGCAGCUCCAGCCUGGUGUGCGUCCUCAGCAGCUCCUCGAUCUUCUCCUCCUGGAACGGGGUCUUCUCCAGGAUCAGCACGGCGUCCGUCUCCUCCCCCGCCGGCCCGACCACCUGGCCGUGCACGAAGGCCGCCUUCUCACGCGCCGAGUCCCGCAGCAGCCGCCGCAGCCGCACGGAGCCCAACGGGAACGGGGCGGCGGGGCCCGGGGCCGCCUCGGCCUCUUCCCGCCGCCGCUUCGGGGCCGGCCCGUCCGCCAUGGCCGCGCGGGGACAGCGUGGAGACGGCGCGAGGACGGCGCCCCCUCGUGGCCGGAGGGCCCCGCUCCUACAGCGCCCCGCAGCGCCGGCAUCGCGGAGCGGCGACCCGCAGCCCCGGGCCCCACAGAGACCCCCGUAGAG